rnacentral:tRNA from 1 species
GCGGGCGUGGCGGAAUUGGUAGACGCGCUGGUUUUAGGUACCAGUAUCUAACGAUGUGGGGGUUCGAGUCCCUUCGCCCGCACCA